ACGUAGUUAGCCGUGGCUUUCUGGUUAGAUACCGUCGAAACGUGAACAGUUACUCUCACGCACUUUCUUCUCUAACAACAGGGUUUUACGAUCCGAAGACCUUCUUCACCCACGCGGCGUUGCUCCAUCAGGCUUUCGCCCAUUGUGGAAGAUUCCCUACUGCUGCCUCCCGUAGGAGUUUGGGCCGUGUCUCAGUCCCAAUGUGGCCGAUCAACCUCUCAGUUCGGCUACGCAUCAUUGCCUUGGUAAGCCUUUACCCCACCAACUAGCUAAUGCGCCGCGGGCCCAUCCAAAAGCGGUAGCAUAGCCACCUUUUACAUAGUUACCAUGCGGUAACUAUGGUUAUGCGGUAUUAGCACCUGUUUCCAAGUUGUUAUCCCCCUCUUUUGGGCAGGUUGCCCACGUGUUACUCACCCGUUCGCCACUCAACUCUUUAUCGGUGAGUGCAAGCACUCGGUGAUAAAGAAGUUUCGUUCGACUUGCAUGUAUUAGGCACGCCGCCAGUCGUUCAU
rnacentral:rRNA from 1 species